GGGACCCUUCUGCCAGCACCACUGUGGCCUCCCAUCCGGCUGCAGGAUGGGAUGCUGAGAACCUAGUUCUCACACUGAUAACAUGUGGGGUGGUAAAUGGACAAGGCCCAUCCUUAUGGCUGCUCACAGACCUCACGUAUAAAUUGUUGGGAGCAAUAGCACAGAGCCUGUGGAUUCUCCUAGCCUGAAUAACUCCUCUGUGGCUGAAGGCUGAGUCCAGUGAAUUUUAUUUCAGUCCACCCAAGGAUUAGGAGACAAAUUGCCCUGUCUGGCUCCUCUGAGUGGAAUCACAGAACAUAGAGCCCAAGGCUUGUUUCACAGAGCCAAUCACAGCAUUUGAUAAUGGAGGUGGGACAUACAUUGAUUCUGAGACCUGUAAGUUCUGUGACCUUGCCUAGCUCUUAGACCUAGCCAGGCAAUCAGAAGUUCUCUCCUGGGGAUUUGUAUGUCCUUGUUAGUGGCAAAAGGUAGACUCCGAGGGAUCCUGUGGUGGUAAGUGGAGAAGACAACCCUUGGGGUCCUGCAUGUCCGUGCUGGGCAGCCUGCCUCUGCCCUUUCUGAGAUUGGAAAGGCAGGCCUUAACUCUCAGUUUCCUUUUGUACCACAAUUGACCAUGCCUGACUUCUGUGAGUUCGGGCUCUAUCCCUUAAUUGCCAAUUUGAUACAGCCUAGAGUUGCCUGAGAAGGGAGUCGUGAUUGACAGACUGCCCGGAGGAUCAGGCAGACUGUCCUGUAGGGAUGUCUGCGGGGGAUUGUCUGGAUUGUUAAUUGACAUUGGAGGGCCCAGUUCACUGUGAACAGUAUUAUAUCUCUGGGAAGGCAUUUCUGGGCUUUAGGGGGGAAAAUCUAGCUAAGCAUGCACUUGAAGGGUGAGCCACAAGCAGUGUUCUUCCGUGGUUUCUACGCCAAGGUCCUGCCUGACUUCCCCUGGUGAUUGGCUGUGACCUGGAGCGUAAGGCCAAAUAAACCCUUUCUUCUCCUAAGUUGCCCUUAGUCAGAGUCAGCUACCAAAGAAAAGCAGAAUGGGACCUCACACCUUCAACCGGAUGAGCCCCAACCUGACACUACUGGCGGUUUGAUCGGGACAGUCCUUUGCUGAGAGCACUCCCUGUGACCAGUGCAGAUGAACUGUGCAUGACUGGUACCUGAUGCCUGAGACUGCCUGUGCUCUUCCUGUAGGGUUCCUUGGUGCUGGCACUAUUAACAUUCAGGAAGAGGCUCUGUCCUGGGCAUGGUAGGUCCCUACCUUCAGCCCUGGCCUCUCUUCCAGCUUCAGCCCCUUAGAUGUGACAAAUGUCUCAUAACAACAGAAGCACCUCCUGGGAGGAAGAAUCAUGGCCAUAAUUGGACUCAGUGCGUGAGGAGCAGUGUUCCUUGGGGGCUUGGUGGAUCUUCAGUAUUUGGUAGCAAGAACAUGCAGCAGCCUCUUUGCGAUGAAGGUCCAAUUUACCCACUUCUCGUUCAAGGCUCAAUUUAUUGGAUGCUGUAGCGUAACAGCCAGAAGGCUGGGUGAAACAGUGUGUCCCAUAAUAAAAUUUCUAAAUGAUUGAUAAAGAUGGUGUAGGGAGACCGUGGCAUCCACAGUGGUCUAAUGAGAUCCCCAAGCUUUGGGAAACCUCCCCCAGACACCUAUGCGCUGUGUGUAGACCUCUCCAUCUUUAUCGAGCUGAACUGCCAACAUGAACACAUGCAAGCACGGAUUUAACAGGCCAAGGUGGGGCCGUGCUCAGGACUCUAAGUGUUAGGAACAGCAGAUCAAUGGAGAGUUGUUGGAAGGAGCAGAUGGAGCAGCUGUUGCUGAGUCCAUUGUGGGUGGGAAGGAUGUAAGGAGACGGGGGCACCAGGCCCAAGCAGCGAGCGAAACUUAGGCAGAUGCUCUUGACAGUGGCUUGGGAGUGUUCUUCACGUGGGCUGGGAGUGAGGUAUGCUGAAGGGGAAGGCCUGAAAGCCUAGUGAUGUACUGCCAAGCAGAGAAAGAAUAGUCAGGAGUCAACUGGAAGGCUAGGCAGGCUUUGCAAUAAUAAUAAUAAAACAAUGAUAAAAAUUUUAAUGCAUAAUAGCCAAAUGAUAAAAAUAACCCAAAUAUCCAUGAUGGAUAGAAGGGUAUGACGUCAUAUAGCCACACGAUGGAAUAUUAGUCAGCCAUAAGAGGAAGGAAAUCUUGCCACCAUCUGUCACAUGGGUGAACCUUGAAAGCUUUAUGCUAAGUGAAGCAAGCCCAGCACAGCUAGCCAGUCACAAUUUGAUCCCGAUCCUCUGAGAGCGAGGCACGGUCAGACACAGAGAUGGAGAGGAUGACAGGAGGUCCCUGGGCUGCGGGGAUGAGCAGGCUGUGCUGUUUCAUGGUCUCAGAGUUUCUCUUCGGGAAGAUGCUUGGGCCUGGAGAUGGAGGGAGGCCAUGCUUUCACAUCUCCAUGACUGCACCUAAUGCCUACAUGGUUGAAUCGGUGCAUUUCAUGUUACACAUAGUUCACUGCAACAAAAAAGUGGUAGCAUUUGCUUCACUCUGACACAGGUUUUCAGUGUCAAACUUUCAAUAUUGGAUAGCGAAUAACCCUGAAGAAAGAGUUGUCUGUGUAUGUCUCUCACGAAGACGGAAGUUUCCAAAGUGCAGCUUGUGAGCCAUUCCAAAAGUCCAUGAGGUCAAAUGACUUGCAUAAUGUUGCCAACGCAAGACGUGCCAUUUGUUCUGAUGGCACAAACGCAACAGUGGUGCUUAACCAGGACUGGAGAUGUUUGCCACAGCCUGUACCUGCAGUCACUGUGCCCUGCUGUGCCCACAGUUUAAAAGAUGCGUCCUUGAUGAGCAGAACAAAUGAUUGGUCUAAUCAGCCCCCUGGAGCACGUGUCUUUAUACUAUGUGGUAUGACAUAUUGGGAGGGAAUCUAGACAAAGCCUUUCUGCACUUUCCCCCAGAGCAAUGGUUGCCUCGGGUGUCCAAUCGAAGCAACCAAUGUUUGCAUAGGACAUCCAUCCAUUCAAAAGCCUGAGUGGCAUUAAAGUGAGCCUGUGCAGAUGGGGUAUCUGGGGACACUCACUCAAAGGGCAAUGGGUAGAGCCUGUCCCUUCAAGGGGAACAAGAAGCAAUAUUGCUACCAAUACUAAAAUGCACAGAACUCCACGAAGUGGGAACCUGGACAACUCAUACUCACAUGUGUGUGAAUUUGAGUACUUUCAAUACUUAAUGGGUGUCUUGGUAUCAUCACUGGUAGAAGAAAUGAAGGUGAUGAUUUGGUAUCAGAUAAUUAAACGCAUCAGUCUUGAGAAAGGUCUGUGUGAGUCACCACUGCAUCUUAACCCAAAAUUGUAUACAGGUCAGAGAUCUCCUAGGCUGCAAGAUGGAACCCCAGAGUUGAUUUCAUCUGAUGCUGCAGUUGUGCUGUCAUGGCCUUGGAUUCUACUUGCUGUGUUUGGUAUAAUACCAGAGCAGAAGAUCAACAGCGGUCUAGAAAGACAAUGCUUGAAUCUGACCCAGGCGAAGGGUUCGUUCUAAACUUCAAGAGACUUGGAAGGAAGAGCAGAGAGACAAAUCCAGCCAUCUCCCACUGACCCAGAUAAUUGCAAAGGUAUCACGUCACCCCUCACUACUCUUUGCUGUCUAUUUUGAAAAGCAGAUAUUUUGGAUGGAAAAUAUGUAUGCUAACACAUAGUGGGCUGUGCACUAGAUACAUUGUUAAGUAAAUGUGUCUUAACAAUUCUGACCGUGCAUUGGUUUUCUCAUGAAGAGAUAUCAAGGUGAGCAAAAGCGUUUCAGGGCUCCUCAGGAGGUUUGGAGAGUGAAGUCAGUCUCCUCAUCUGAGAGUCUGAGGUCCUCUAGGUAACACAUGGUCUUUAGUGCUUAGCAAGGAAUUGCAGGAAUGAAUGAACAAGAAUGUGAAGAUGUUGCUAGUUAAAAAACAUAUAGGGUUACCAGGACUAGGGAGAUGGCUCAGAGGAUUAAAUCCUUGGCACAGGUAUGAGGACCCACCCGAGUGAGUUCAGAAUCCCAGAACUCAGGCACCUCAGCUUGCAUCUGCAAUCUGUUGUGCCUAGCACUAGAUGGAAGUACAUACAGAAGAGUCCCUCAAAGCCCACAGGCCAGGUGGCCUGGUGUACAAAGCAGGUGACUGGAGAUCCUGUCUCUAACAAAGGGGAGGGUGACAAAGGACAGUAGAAGUUGUCAACUGGUCCCACAUGUGCUCUGUGGCAAGCCCUAGCCCAUACUCACUCACAUAUGCACAGGAACAAACUCACUGGACACACCCACCUAACCACCCACACCGUACUCACUCAAACACAAAGAUUAUGGGUGAUAUUUUAUUUACUCUUCUGUCCCAGUGACUAGUACCUCACAGAAAUAAGCCGGAGAAGAUCAGGUUGACUCUGGCUUACCUUUUCAGAGGCUUUCAUUCCAUCUUGGUGAAGAAGGUGGCAGCGUAUGUGCUGAAGCUUCCUCACAGCAUCGUGGACCAAGAAGUGGAGAAGGUUGAAUGGAGUCAAGGGUGUAGGGCUGUAGCCUUCAAGGACCCAUCUCCAGGGGACUACUUCUGCCAGGCAAACCCUACCUCCCACAGGGUCUAUAGCCAUAUUCCUAAUCUGAAAGUGGGAGGUGGGGAUAGGGUGCUCUCGAACCAUGCCAAGUGCUGAGAAGAACAGAAAUUAACACCUUCUAAUGAGUAUCCAGAGUGGAACACUAGUGCUUCCUGCCUGGGAGACCCUGUUGGUGAACACAGGUUUUCAGGGGUUUUUGAGGGGAGGGGGGGGGCAACAUUUAAUCCAGCUAAGAAUAUUUUGAAAUUUUUAUGGUAUGUGUGUGUGUGUCUGUCUGUCUGUCUGUCUGUCUAUGUGUCUGUGUGUCUCUGUGUGUGUGUGUCUGUGUGUGUUAUAUAUGUGUGGGCAUCUAUGCCACAAGCACAUAUGAGGAGGUCAGAGAAUAUCUGUCCUUGUGUCUAUUUUCCUCUUCCACCUUCAUGCGGGUUCUAGAAUUAACAAUAGGCCAUCAGUAGUAAGGACUUU